GAAUUUUCCGCAAUGGGCGAAAGCCUGACGGAGCAAUACCGCGUGAGGGAAGAAUGCCUGUGGGUUGUAAACCUCUUUUCUUAGGGAAGAAAUCUGACGGUACUUAAGGAAUAAGCAUCGGCUAACUCCGUGCCAGCAGCCGCGGUAAUACGGGGGAUGCAAGCGUUAUCCGGAAUCACUGGGCGUAAAGCGUCUGUAGGUGGCUUGGCAAGUCUGCUGUUAAAUAUUGGGGCUUAACCCUAAACAAGCAGUGGAAACUUCUAAACUAGAGUAUGGCAUGGGUAGAGGGAAUUCCCAGUGUAGCGGUGAAAUGCGUAGAUAUUGGGAAGAACACCAGCAGCGAAGGCGCUCUACUGACUAUUACUGACACUCAGAGACG
rnacentral:rRNA from 1 species